rnacentral:rRNA from 1 species
AUAUUGGACUAUGGGGGCAACCCUGAUCCAGCCAUGCCGCGUGUGUGAAGAAGGUCUUCGGCUUGUAAAGCACUUUAAGUUGGGAGGAAGGGCUUUAGGUUAAUACCCUGAAGUUUUGACGUUACCAACAGAAUAAGCACCGGCUACGUCGGCGCCAGCAGCCGCGGGAAUACAGAGGGUGCAAGCGUUAAUCGGAAUUACUGGGCGUAAAUCGCGCGUAGGUGGUUCAGUAAGAUGGGUGUGAAAUCCCCGGGCUUAACCUGGGAACUGCUUUCAUAACUGCUGAGCUAGAGUACGGUAGAGGGUAGUAGUAUUUCCUGUGUAGCGGUGAAAUGCGUAGAUAUAGGAAGGAACACCAGUGGAGAAGGCGACUACCUGGACUGAUACUGACACUGAGGUGCGAGAGCGUGGGGAGCAA